rnacentral:rRNA from 1 species
AUUGAACGCUGGCGGCAUGCCUUACACAUGCAAGUCGAACGGCAGCACGGGUGCUUGCACCUGGUGGCGAGUGGCGAACGGGUGAGUAAUACAUCGGAACAUGUCCUGUAGUGGGGGAUAGCCCGGCGAAAGCCGGAUUAAUACCGCAUACGAUCCACGGAUGAAAGCGGGGGACCUUCGGUCCUCGCGCUAUAGGGUUGGCCGAUGGCUGAUUAGCUAGUUGGUGGGGUAAAGGCCUACCAAGGCGACGAUCAGUAGCUGGUCUGAGAGGACGACCAGCCACACUGGGACUGAGACACGGCCCAGACUCCUACGGGAGGCAGCAGUGGGGAAUUUUGGACAAUGGGCGAAAGCCUGAUCCAGCAAUGCCGCGUGUGUGAAGAAGGCCUUCGGGUUGUAAAGCACUUUUGUCCGGAAAGAAAUCCUUGACUCUAAUACAGUCGGGGGAUGACGGUACCGGAAGAAUAAGCACCGGCUAACUACGUG